rnacentral:rRNA from 1 species
UGGGGAAUCUUGCGCAAUGGGCGAAAGCCUGACGCAGCAACGCCGCGUGGGGGAUGACGGCCUUCGGGUUGUAAACCUCUUUCGACAGGGACGAAGCUUUCGGGUGACGGUACCUGUAGAAGAAGCACCGGCUAACUACGUGCCAGCAGCCGCGGUAAUACGUAGGGUGCGAGCGUUGUCCGGAUUUAUUGGGCGUAAAGAGCUCGUAGGCGGUUUGUCACGUCGGCCGUGAAAACCUGCAGCUUAACUGUGGGCGUGCGGUCGAUACGGGCAGACUUGAGUUCGGCAGGGGAGACUGGAAUUCCUGGUGUAGCGGUGAAAUGCGCAGAUAUCAGGAGGAACACCGGUGGCGAAGGCGGGUCUCUGGGCCGAUACUGACGCUGAGGAGCGAAAGCAUGGGGAGCGAACAGG